rnacentral:rRNA from 1 species
AAACAAAAGUAUUUUAAUUACAUCAUACUCGCCAGGGUACUACGAGCUUUAGCUUAAAACCCAAAGGACUUGGCGGUGCUUUACACCCACCUAGAGGAGCCUGUUCUAUAACUGAUAACCCCCGUUAAACCUCACCCUAUUUUGCUUAAUCAAUUUAUAUACCGCCGUCGUCAGCUUACCUUGUGAAAGAACAACAGUGAGCAGAACUAGUAACAACCCAAAACGUCAGGUCGAGGUGUAGUUUAUAAUAGGGGAAGAAAUGGGCUACACUCAUUUACUAAUGAAUACGGAUGGUAUAUUGAAACAUAAACCUAAAGGAGGAUUUAGCAGUAAGAAGAAAAUAGAGUGUUCA